GGAAGUAAAAGUCGUAAAAGGUCUCCGUUGGUGAACCAGCGGAGGGAUCAUUACAGGACUCGCAAGACUCCUACAACCCUGUGAACUUAACUAUAAGCACGUUGCUUCGGCGGGUGUCUCGGAGGGGGUUCUCCCUCCCCGAGACGCUAAACCCGCCGGUAGCCUACUAUACUCUGUCUCUUUGCAUUGGCAUCUCGAGUACAAUCAAACAAGUUAAAACUUUCAACAACGGAUCUCUUGGUUCUG
rnacentral:misc_RNA from 1 species